rnacentral:rRNA from 1 species
UACAGAGGUCUCAAGCGUUGUUCGGAUUCAUUGGGCGUAAAGGGUGCGUAGGCGGCGCGGUAAGUCGGGUGUGAAAUCUUGGAGCUUAACUCCGAAACUGCAUUCGAUACUGCCGUGCUUGAGGACUGGAGAGGAGACUGGAAUUUACGGUGUAGCGGUGAAAUGCGCAGAUAUCAGGAGGAACACCGAUGGCGAAGGCAGGUCUCUGGGCAUUAACUGACGCUGAGGAGCGAAAGCAUGGGGAGCGAACAGG